rnacentral:rRNA from 1 species
GAUGAACGCUGGCGGCGUGCCUAACACAUGCAAGUCGAGCGAUUUACUUCGGUAAAGAGCGGCGGACGGGUGAGUAACGCGUGGGUAACCUGCCCUGUACACACGGAUAACAUACCGAAAGGUAUGCUAAUACGAGAUAAAAUACUUUUAUCGCAUGGUAGAAGUAUCAAAGCUUUUGCGGUACAGGAUGGACCCGCGUCUGAUUAGCUAGUUGGUAAGGUAACGGCUUACCAAGGCGACGAUCAGUAGCCGACCUGAGAGGGUGAUCGGCCACAGUGGAACUGAGACACGGUCCAAACUCCUACGGGAGGCAGCAGUGGGGAAUAUUGCACAAUGGGCGAAAGCUUGAUGCAGCAACGCCGCGUGAGCGAUGAAGGCCUUCGGGUCGUAAAGCUCUGUCCUCAAGGAAGAUAAUGACGGUACUUGAGGAGGAAGCCCCGGCUAACUACGUGCCAGCAGCCGCAGUAA